rnacentral:misc_RNA from 1 species
UAAUCGAAUAUUCGAACGUCGAUUGAUACUAGAGUCUAAAAUUAAAUAUAUUUUUUAUUUAUGUUAUUUGGUGUUGACAUUUGAAAAUAAUGUGUCAGUACUACGCAUUUUGAAAACGGCAUCCAUUCGAAAAUCAAAUGCGCCUGUUGUAUAAUUCGUAAAUCCUUCAUGAAAACCGUGCGGAAAGCGUACCAAAGGUAGUAUCUUAUUGAUUUUUUGUCGCCUCGCGAGGUGGCCAUUGAAACAGCAAAAUAAACAAACUGCACAUCCAUGAUAAGAGUUAUAAAUUUCAAACAAUAUACCAACACCAAUAAUUUAAUUUAAUUUGAAUAAUUUGAAUGCACCUUGUAGAUACUCUAGUAGAUUUUUGUAAAUCAAUUUAACAUUAUCGUAAGAUUGCACAUCUUAACAACCGCAGUCGAAAUGAAGAAAAUGUUGAAAUUGGUGAAAGGGGGAAAAAAAGAGGAUAAAAGUGGCUCUGGCACACCAUCAGGUGAUGAACUAGAAGACGACCAGGAAAAUGCUAUUUUCUGCUAUAAAAUUGAUUCCGAAACCGAGGAAAAAAUGAGCCGAUUACACAGGGCUUCGUGGCAUGGCAGCCUAGAGAAAGUUAAGACUUUACUACAAAAAAAACCAAUGGAUGUGAACACUGUGGACAGCUUUGACAGAACGCCAUUGCACUUGGCAAUGGCCAAAGGUUACUAUAACAUUGCUUGGGUGCUGUUGAAUCACAACGCUAGCUUAGAUUAUGUUGAUUGUGAUGGGUAUACACCGUUCUUGAAGGCUGUAGAAUGCGGCCAAAAAGAAUGUGUUCAUUUAAUGUUGGAGAGAGGGGCAGAUGUAACAUGCACAGACAAAAAUAAAAAUACUGCUUUACACUUAGCUGCAAAACAGGGCUCAUUCACUAUAAUAUCUAUGCUACUUAAAAAAGGAAUUAAUAUAAAUGCACAAAAUGCUGCAGGUGAAUCCGUUCUACAUGUUGCUUGUGCUGCAGAAAAUCGUGAUCUAAUAGAAUUUAUAUUAGAUAAUGGAUCAUUAAUAAACAUAGCAGAUAACCAAGGACGUACACCAUUAAUGGUGGUAGCAAAACUUGGAAAUAUGUCUAUUGUAGACUUAUUAUUGGACCGAGGAAGUCAACUUGAUGCUUGUGAUAUAAAUGGUUUAUCUGUGAAAGAUUAUGCGAUUAAAGAAGGUCAUUCAAAAGUAGUGAACCAACUAUCUAUGCAAAAAAUGAGUAUAAUGGCUAGAACUAGAUCUAAAGAAAAUGUGUUAGAUGAUUUAGAUCAGAAUGAUGGUGCUCAAUUACAAGAAAAUAAUGAUAAUUCAAAUAAUCAAAAAAUCGUUGAUGCUCAAAUUAUAGUACUUAAAAAUGAUAAAAUAUCUAAAUCAAAUGUUGAAGAUAACCAAAAUGAAAAAGAAUUUAUAGCUUUUAGUUCUACAGCUGAGAAUGACGAUUUAAAGGUUAAUACAAUUGAUGUUGAAGAGGUAGAUAAUAAAAAGGAAAAUCUGAUUCUAAACUGUGAAGUUAAUCAUCCUGAUGAAUUAAAAACAAUUAAAUUAAAUAUUGAAAAUAAUCAGAAGGAAAAGGAAAAUGUAACUUUGAACUCUACUCUUAAAAAUGAAAAUGAAAUAAAUAAUAUUUCAAUAGAAACAGAUAAAGAAGUAAUUGAGAAAAAUAAAUUAACCGUUGAAAUCAAAAAUACAUCUACAGUAAAUGUUUUACCAACGAAAGAUGAAGAAUCAGUAUCCCAAUGCACAAUGCCUCCACCAUUAGAUCCACCUAGAAGCUGGGAUUUUAUACAGACAAGCAUAAUACACACCACGGACAUCAAUGAAAAAGCUGAAAAAGAAACACAAGAAAAUAUUGAGCAAAUCCCUGAUCCAAUUGUUUGUGCAGUAAAUACAGAUGAUUCAGAAUUGGAAUGGGGUAGUGAUGAAAGUCUUCCGACUGAUCCUAAUCAAUUGUGUCCUACUGUGGAUGAUAAAAAAGAAGAAAAUAAAAAAAUGAAUACAUUUUAUAAUUUUAUAACUACAAAAUUAAUGAACAAGACAAAAAAUAGAGUUUCUGCAUCUGCAGAAAAUAUCAUUGAUGAUACUACUACUAAAAAACAUGUGAGAAAUAAGUCUUUUACUUCACUGAGGACUUUUAAACUCACUGUUCCAUCAGAUGUAAACAAAGCUUUAUAUCAACUUAGUCCAGAGAUGAACUUUGCACAUUCUUCAUUCAGUAAAAGCAAAUCAUUUAAUGAGAAUAUUCCCACUGAAAAUGUUGAUAAAAAUUCUUUAGAAUUUGAACGUUCUAAGUCAUUAUGUUUGGAAUUAAAACAUAAUUAUGAUAUAACCGAGAAUCAGCAAAGAGAUUCAGAUAGCCAAAGUGAUGAUAGUCUCCGUUCAAAAAGAAGCCUUUUGUUAUCUAUGCGAAUGCCUAAAGUUCAUGAUGAACAUCAUGAUGACUAUCAUUUAGAAGUCAAGGAUAGUGAAACGUCUGAAGACGAAGGCCCACAUUACUGGUACAGUCCAAAUAAAAAAAAUGAUAAAAUAGUGCAACAAGAUACUGUUAUUAAGAACUACAGUGAAUCUGAUAGCGAAUCUGAAGAAAUUGGUUUACCAAAAUCUAAGUCUACUCUUGAAGGAAUUUCUAAAGAACAUAACACAUCAGAUAAUUCUGACACAGAGACAGAGAAUACAAUAUCGUUUUCAACUAGCCAUGAAGAUAUUUAUGGAACACAUAAACGCACUAGAUAUGCUUUAAAAAGAACUGAAUCUCUUAAAGCUUACCUAAAGAGAGUAACUAUUGAUAAAGAUAGAUUACAACAAGAAUCAUCUGGUUAUAGAGAAAUAACAGAGCUAUUAAAAUAUAAGUUGGGAAAUCUUAAACAAGAUAUUUCAAGUAAAAAUGAAACAACUAAGAGACUCAAAGAACAAUUAGAUCAGUUAGAUGCUAAAUACACAGAAGCUUUAAACAGGAUUCAAACACUUGAACUAUCUUCAACAAAUUUAGAUAAAGAAAACCAAUAUCUCAAGAAAAUAAAUAAAGAACUCACCGAUAAAUUUAACAAUGAAUGCAAUAACAGUGCACACAAAUCAGUAGAAAUAAUAACUCAACUUGAGUCCGGCAAUUUUAUUGAUCAAACAGAUGAUAUGUGUACAAUGGAUAGCAAAACCAUUAUAAAACAGCUACAAGAACAAUUAAAACUGGAACGGGAAAGACGAAUAGAACUUGACGAACGUAUUAAACUUUUAUCUGUAGAAGUUAAUGCACACCAGUCAUGUAGUUCAACUGUGGAAUUAUUGAAAGAAUUACAAUGUAAAAUUGCCAAAGAUUAUAUACCCAAAAAAGAAGUAUUAAAAUUAAAAACAGAACAAGAAAGAAAAAUCAGUAAAGUGAAAAUGGAAGCUGAAAAAAAAUUAGCGGACAAAUUUUGUGACCUUGAUAAAUUAUUAUCUCAACAAAUGGAUCAACAAGGAAAAUUAGAAAUGCAAAGGGAAAAAAUUGAAAGCCAACUUAAACAGGAAUUUGAAAAUACAAGACAAAGAUUUCAACUAGAAAUUGCAAAACUUCAAACAACACUAAAGAGUAUUAUUUUUAUACAGCCAAAGAAAUGGAGGAACAAAUAUUAAGGGAACGGUGUGAGAUUCUUUCACAAGAAAUCGAAAAAACACAAGAUAAUAAAUGGAAAACAUUGGUGGACAAAACUUAUGGAAUAAAUGAUAUGCAAAAAAGUUCACCCAAUAUGUUAUCAAUGCAUUGUAAAACUCCAGAGCCAAGUCCCACUUUUGAAAGACAAGAACUAAGAGACAUUUCUAGAUAUCAAUAUAAUGUUGAAACUCUCCGAAAUGAACUGGAUAAAGUCAUU